AGUAAAUAGAUACCCUGGUAGUCCACGCCCUAAACUAUGUCAACUAGUUGUCGGGCCUUAAUAGGCUUGGUAAACGUAGCUAAACGCGUGAAAGUUGACCGCCUGGGGAGUACGGUCGCAAGAUUAAAACUCAAAGGAAUUGACGGGGACCCGGCACAAGCGGUGGAUUAUGUGGAUUAAUUCGAUGCAACGCGAAAAACCUUAACCUACCCUUGACAUGUCAGAAAAUUUUACUAGAGAUGAAUUUGUGCCCGAAACGGGAAUCUGAACACAGGUGCUGCAUGGCUGUCGUCAGCUCGUGUCGUGAGAUGUUGGGUUAAGUCCCGCAACGAGCGCAACCCUUGUCAUUAAUUGCCAUCAUUUGGUUGGGCACUUUAAUGAGACUGCCGGUGAUAAACCGGAGGAAGGUGGGGAUGACGUCAAGUCCUCAUGGCCCUUAUGGGUAGGGCUUCACACGUAAUACAAUGGCGCGUACAGAGGGUUGCCAACCCGCGAGGGGGUAGCUAAUCUCAGAAAGCGCGUCGUAGUCCGGGAUCGGAGUCUGCAACUCGACUCCGU
rnacentral:rRNA from 1 species